AUUAAAGCUCUCUUCGGAGAGUGCAUAGAGUGGCGCACGGGUGAGUAACACGUAAGUAAUCUACCCUCGAGUGGGGAAUAACAUCGGGAAACCGAUGCUAAUACCGCAUAAUGCAGCGGCACCGCAAGGUGACAGUUGUUAAAGAUUUAUCGCUUGAGGAGGAGCUUGCGGCAGAUUAGCUAGUUGGUAAGGUAAUGGCUUACCAAGGCUACGAUCUGUAACCGGUCUAAGAGGACGGUCGGUCACACUGACACUGAAUAACGGGUCAGACUCCUACGGGAGGCAGCAGUCGGGAAUUUUGGGCAAUGGGCGAAAGCCUGACCCAGCAACGCCGCGUGAAGGAUGAAGUAUUUCGGUAUGUAAACUUCGAAAGAAUAGGAAGAAUAAAUGACGGUACUAUUUAUAAGGUCCGGCUAACUACGUGCCAGCAGCCGCGGUAAUACGUAGGGACCAAGCGUUGUUCGGAUUUACUGGGCGUAAAGGGCGCGUAGGCGGCGUGACAAGUCACUUGUGAAAUCUCUGAGCUUAACUCAGAACGGCCAAGUGAAACUGUUGUGCUAGAGUGCAGAAGGGGCAAUCGGAAUUCUUGGUGUAGCGGUGAAAUGCGUAGAUAUCAAGAGGAACACCUGAGGUGAAGACGGGUUGCUGGGCUGACACUGACGCUGAUGCGCGAAAGCCAGGGGAGCAAACGGGAUUAGAUACCCCGGUAGUCCUGGCCCUAAACGAUGAAUACUUGGUGUCUGGAGUAAUUUGUGCUCCGGGUGCCGUCGCUAACGUUUUUAGUAUUCCGCCUGGGGAGUACGCUCGCAAGAGUGAAACUC
rnacentral:rRNA from 1 species